UGGGGAAUUUUGGGCAAUGGGGGCAGCCCUGAUCCAGCCAUCCCGCGUGUGCGAUGAAGGCCUUCGGGUUGUAAAGCACUUUUGGCAGGAAAGAAACGGCACGGGCUAAUAUCCUGUGCAACUGACGGUACCUGCAGAAUAAGCACCGGCUAACUACGUGCCAGCAGCCGCGGUAAUACGUAGGGUGCAAGCGUUAAUCGGAAUUACUGGGCGUAAAGCGUGCGCAGGCGGUUCGGAAAGAAAGAUGUGAAAUCCCAGGGCUUAACCUUGGAACUGCAUUUUUAACUACCGGGCUAGAGUGUGUCAGAGGGAGGUGGAAUUCCGCGUGUAGCAGUGAAAUGCGUAGAUAUGCGGAGGAACACCGAUGGCGAAGGCAGCCUCCUGGGAUAACACUGACGCUCAUGCACGAAAGUGUGGGGAGCAAACAGGAUUAGAUACCCUGGUAGUCCACGCCCUAAACGAUGUCAACUAGCUGUUGGGGCCUUCGGGCCUUGGUAGCGCAGCUAACGCGUGAAGUUGACCGCCUGGGGAGUACGGUCGCAAGAUUA
rnacentral:rRNA from 1 species